rnacentral:rRNA from 1 species
UACGUAGGGGGCAAGCGUUGUCCGGAAUCAUUGGGCGUAAAGGGUGCGCAGGUGGCGCGGCAAGUCGGAUGUGAAAUCCCGGGGCUCAACCCCGGAACUGCAUUCGAUACUGCCGUGCUAGAGUGCUGGAGAGGAGAUUGGAAUUUACGGUGUAGCAGUGAAAUGCGUAGAUAUCGUAAGGAAGACCAGUGGCGAAGGCGGAUCUCUGGACAGCUACUGACACUGAGGCACGAAGGCCAGGGGAGCAAACGGG